rnacentral:rRNA from 1 species
UACGGGAGGCAGCAGGGGGGAAUAUUGCACAAUGGGCGCAAGCCUGAUGCAGCCAUGCCGCGUGUAUGAAAAAGGCCUUCGGGUUGUAAAGUACUUUCAGUCGUGAGGAAGGUGUUAAGGUUAAUAACCUUAGCAAUUGACGUUAGCGACAGAAGAAGCACCGGCUAACUCCGUGCCAGCAGCCGCGGUAAUACGGAGGGUGCGAGCGUUAAUCGGAAUUACUGGGCGUAAAGGGCACGCAGGCGGUUAAUUAAGUUGGAUGUGAAAUCCCCGGGCUUAACCUGGGAAUGGCAUUCAAGACUGGUUAGCUAGAGUCUUGUAGAGGGGGUAGAAUUCCAUGUGUAGCGGUGAAAUGCGUAGAGAUGUGGAGGAAUACCGGUGGCGAAGGCGGCCCCUGGACAAAGACUGACGCUCAUGUGCGAAAGCGUGGGGAGCAAGGCAGGGAUUAGAUACC